GCGGCCGCCCACGAAGCUGUCCCCGCGGAGUAGGUCGGCGUGGAGGCCAGCGGGGCCGCUGGCGUAGCUGCGCCGCGGGGUUCCUGCGGGCUCCGGGCGGAAGCGGCCGGGAGGCGGCAGCGCAGGACGCGCGGCCCAGAAGCUCCGCAGCAGAAAGCAGGUCGCCAUGGCCCGGCAGUAGCGGCGACACCGGCAAGGGACAGGGCCUGCGAAUGGAAAGACUCCCAGCAAGAUGAAUUCGUGCACAUAACUCACCGUUCUCAUUGUCGGAUGCUCACCUGUCAUUUCUUUAGGCCUUAAUUGUGACGGGAGCACUUUCUGUUCCCCAGUUCCCCAGCCCCGGCAAUAUGCACUCCGUCUAAAGAAGGCACCAAAGGCCAAACUCGCGGUUUCAUAUGCUCGGGCUACUGAACAUUGGAACUGGGGAUCACUGUUCAGUGAGGGGUGAAGUGUGGCUCAGUGAUCGGUUCCUUGCAUGCUUUUCUACAUAUCCCCUUCAUGAAUUCGGAGCACAGCGCUCCUGAGUACUGAGAUUUGGGGCAACCGUUCAAUUAGGGUCGAAGUGAGGCUUCCUCUUGCAUGCUUUCUGUGUGUGUCCUCUGUUGGUCCUGAGCAGUGGUGCUCCCAAGCCACUGCCCUUUGCUUCGUGACGUAGCUGCUGUACAUCAAGCAACUAACAGAGCUGAAGUUUAGUAACUGGAAACAAUCAUCCUAGAAGUAAUAAUAAGCCCGGUGUUGUGGCCAGCACUUGGGAGGCUCUCGGUAAGUUCAAGGCUGAGACCCUAUUUUAAAAAAGAAAUCAACAGGGGUGUGAGGAUUGAACAUAGCACUAUCACCUUAAACAAAAUCUUCAUCCUCCUGCUGCAUCUGGGCCCCAAACUCUGCAGAAGAAAGAAACCCUAAGUUUUAAUUUGAAUAAAAGAAACAGCAGGUUUGUGUUCAGAAUACGUGGAGUCAAAUGUUGUUGUUAUUAUUGAGAAAACAUGUUAUUAUGUAGCCUAGGAUGACCUACAUCUCGCAGUCUUCCUUCCUAGAGUUCUGGAAUUACAGGCGAGCACUACAUGCCCCAGUUAGAAUAUUGUAUUUGCAAAAUGCCUUGGAUGUUCUUUUAAUUGUUGGCUUUGUCUUCUGCUGAGUCAGAGCCUCCCAGUCAUGUGCCAGAUACAUCUGGCAGAAGUCUCAAUAGCAGGAUUUAAUUGUGUGUACAGGUAGGUGUGCACACAUAUGUGCUGUGUGUGUUCACUACUUUGUCCUGUAUUUUAUUAAGGGAACUGGAGCGAGAAGCGGUCAAGAUAAGGAGGGCCUCCGGUGGCUUUCUCAGCUAUCGCAAGCUGGCCGGCCUGUAUUCCUGCUGCCUGUAGGGGGCGCUCUACUCAUAGACCAUUCUAUCUUCUCUGGGCAUUCCUUCAGAUCUUGUCUUAAUCACUGUAGACCCCAAACUUGAAAUCAGCUUUGUGUCUCGGGAUCCAAUAUAGAAUUCACUGUCUCUCGUUAUCUCUCUCUCUCUCUUCCUCCCCUUUUUUCUUUUAUUUCUGUAAAGAUUCAUCUUGGAAAAAAAAAAACAGAAAUAAAAGAAAAACAUCUUGUUUGGUAACCAAAGCCAACGUCAAAUUCACUAUGCAGCCCAGGCUGGUCUUGAACUCAGGGAAUCCACGGUAUCAAUCUGAGAGUAUUCAAGCAAGUCACCGCUCCUGGCUUGAGAAACUUUGUAAAAGCUCUGCCUACUCUCCUUUUCAGCUGAGUUGCCCGCCUUGCAUUUGCGCUCUAGGAGUAACACCGAAGUCUCGUAGCACUUUCACUGUUUGUUUCUUAGAAAGUGAGAAAAAAAAAAAAACCCACAAAAAUUCCCAAAAGCCUAAGCACACAAUAUUUAGGUUUAGUCUUACUAUUAAUCUUCACAGCAACGCGGUAGUAAAAUGCUUUUACUUACUUGUUGAAGGAAGGAGCUCACCAAGGCAAUUGUCCCUAUGGUCUGAGAAGUCCAUUAAGUGGCACCCGAAACUUCCUACACUGAUGCUUCUCCCCAGCAAGCCCCCGUUUGGAGUGGAAACAAUUCCCUCCAGCCUCUUCCCCGUGACUCCCGGAUCUUGGAUGGGUGCUCACUAGGACCCACAGGAGAAACGCAGUCACGGGGGGCGGAGCCUCUUCUCCCCUUGGGUUCCUGGGUACCAUGAGCUUCCAGUUCCUAGAUUUUAAACUUACCUAUUUAUGUGAAGAACUGGAGGGUUGCCAGGAUUGAUUUUUUUUUUCCCCCUUCUACCAUGUGGGUCCCUGGGAUUGGCCUUAGGUCAUCAGGCUUGGCUGCAAGCACCUGAUGAGCUAUUAUUAUUCCUAACAGUGACAUAGAAAGCUAUGCUUUAUUUUGAACGCUAAAAUUGUAUCUAAAGCUGGUCUUGGGGGCUCAGGCCUGCAUUUCCAGCACAGAGAUGUAGAGACAAAGAGAUGGAGAAUUCAAGGUAAGGGCUGGGGAGAUGGCCCAGUGGGUAAAAGUGCUUGCCUUACACGCCUAAUCACCGGAGUUCAAUCUGCAGAACCCAUGUAAAAAGGUGGAUGCAGUGGGUAUAGCUGCAGUUCCACCACUCCUAUGGCAAGGUGGGAGCUGAAGGCAGACGGAUCUCCCAGAUGCACCAGUUAGCCUGGAGUACUCUGAGAAGCAGAAAGAUGAAGAGAGACCUUGCCUCAAGCAGGUGUGUGUCUGUGUGUGUGUGUGUGUGUACUGAAACUUGUCCUCUCAUCUCCACAGGCGUGCAUGUGCGCGCACACACAUGCACACACACACACACUUAAAUAAAUCAAGGCAUAACUCAGCUACAUAGAUGGUUUGAGGAGAGCCUAAAUUACAUGCAGCUUUAUAAAAAAAUAUUGUGUUUCAUCAUUUAUCUGCAUAUGGAGACUAGUUUUCAUUUCAAUUGAAAUUGACUUCAUCCAACUUUGUUUUAUACCCAUAUCUAAAUUUUUAGAAAUAAUCUUAUACUGACUAAACUGAAUGCAAAGUUGGUUUAUUGAUAGGAACGAAAUCAAUAAAUGGGUAGGGGAUAUAGCUCAGUGUUAGAACACUUGUCUAAAAUGAAGGAAGCCCUGGAUUUGAUCCCCCAUGCCACAAAACCCAAAUUAAACAAAAAUCAACAGGGAAAAUAAUAGAAGUCCCUGGUGAGUCUUUUGGGUGGGGGAGUUUUCUUCUGAAUGAUAGUUGUGAAGGAAUAUUGCACUUAUAGUAUACUGAUCUCCACUUAAAAUGCAUUGUGCAUUGGCUCAUCUGAUAAACACAAUGACCCAUAAGGUGGAAACUAUUAUUACCUCUGAGUCACAGAGAAGCAGAAGCAUAUUUUAAUAACUUGCACAAGGUCCCUCAGCCUGAAGCUAGCAGGAUUGGUAUGCAAAUGAGGCACACAUUCUCACAGGCUCCUAGGAUACCUGCACCCUUGCUUUUCAACUUGUAUUUGCAUUUCAGAGAAGCUCCGGGUGAUGGAAUCACACUGUCUCUUUAUAAAAAAGGCCUGCGUUAGCAAGGUGGAUAGCAGUAGGGGGGAAAAUAUUUUCAUAAACAUGUGGGCAUGUACGAUAUAGGGGUCAGAGGUCAACAUCAGGUAUCUUUCUCAAUAGCUUUCCUCCUCUUUAUUUCUGAGAUGGUCUUUCUCCAAACCUGGAGUGCAUUGAUUUGAUUAGGAUGGCUGGCCAAUGCACUCCGGGAAUCUGCUUGCCUGUGCCUCCCCUGCCCUGGAGUUACAGGAGCACAGUACUGUGCCUGGCUUUUAAAUGCUGGUAAGGGUGGGAAUGCGGUCCUCAUGCUUGUGAUGUCAUGAGUAAAAGGCAUCUCCCCAGCGUUUCUC
ensembl:processed_transcript 9330162012Rik cDNA RIKEN 9330162012 gene